rnacentral:rRNA from 1 species
UGGGGAGCAAACAGGAUUAGAUACCCUGGUAGUCCACGCCGUAAACGAUGUCGACUUGGAGGUUGUGCCCUUGAGGCGUGGCUUCCGGAGCUAACGCGUUAAGUCGACCGCCUGGGGAGUACGGCCGCAAGGUUAAAACUCAAAUGAAUUGACGGGGGCCCGCACAAGCGGUGGAGCAUGUGGUUUAAUUCGAUGCAACGCGAAGAACCUUACCUGGCCUUGACAUCCAGAGAACUUAGCAGAGAUGCUUUGGUGCCUUCGGGAACUCUGAGACAGGUGCUGCAUGGCUGUCGUCAGCUCGUGUUGUGAAAUGUUGGGUUAAGUCCCGCAACGAGCGCAACCCUUAUCCUUUGUUGCCAGCGGCUCGGCCGGGAACUCAAAGGAGACUGCCGGUGAUAAACCGGAGGAAGGUGGGGAUGACGUCAAGUCAUCAUGGCCCUUACGGCCAGGGCUACACACGUGCUACAAUGGCGCAUACAAAGAGAAGCGACCUCGCGAGAGCAAGCGGACCUCAUAAAGUGCGUCGUAGUCCGGAUUGGAGUCUGCAACUCGACUCCAUGAAGUCGGAAUCGCUAGUAAUCGUAGAUCAGAAUGCUACGGUGAAUACGUUCCCGGGCCUUGUACACACCGCCCGUCACACCAUGGGAGUGGGUUGCAAAAGAAGUAGGUAGCUUAACCUUCGGGA